rnacentral:lncRNA from 1 species
CCCACCCACAGGUAUACAGAUAUGCUUCAUUGUCACUUCUCUUCCCUCUUCAAGGACAGUGAGUGUACUCACUGAACGAUAUUAUCUGAGCAGCAGAGGGAGCCACAUAAAGGUUACCAGAGGAACUGUCCAGCAUUCCUAAGCAGUCUAGGAAGGUGUGAGUCUUUGGAGAGAUGAGAUCUUGUGUCAUCUGGACAUAAGGGAAGAUGUCAGGAAGUACAAGUCAUAUGAGUGAACCUCAGAUGGAAUUAGAAAACUCUAACAUCAGUAGAGAUGAGCUCAGACCAUGUGAACAUCCCGGGACAACCCAUGCAGAUGUAAGGAAAUGUGAAGCCUUCUCAGAUGUCAAGGUCACUGGUCUCAGGGAGCUGAAAGAUCUAGUAAAGGGGAGUUUGACUGCAGUCAUCAGAGGGAAAAUCUCAGGGGUUUCAGGACUCAAGAAAUAGGCUCUUGACUUAAAGAAACUAGCUUUGGAUUAU